rnacentral:rRNA from 1 species
AUUGAACGCUGGCGGCAGGCCUAACACAUGCAAGUCGAGCGGAUGAAGGGAGCUUGCUCCUGGAUUCAGCGGCGGACGGGUGAGUAAUGCCUAGGAAUCUGCCUGGUAGUGGGGGAUAACGUCCGGAAACGGGCGCUAAUACCGCAUGCGUCCUGAGGGAGAAAGUGGGGGAUCUUCGGACCUCACGCUAUCAGAUGAGCCUAGGUCGGAUUAGCUAGUUGGUGGGGUAAAGGCCUACCAAGGCGACGAUCCGUAACUGGUCUGAGAGGAUGAUCAGUCAAACUGGAACUGAGACACGGUCCAGACUCCUACGGGAGGCAGCAGUGGGGAAUAUUGGAAAAUGGGCGAAAGCCUGAUCCAGCCAUGCCGCGUGUGUGAAGAAGGUCUUCGGAUUGUAAAGCACUUUAAGUUGGGAGGAAGGGAAGUAAGUUAAUACCUUGCUGUUUUGACGUUACCAACAGAAUAAGCACCGGCUAACUUCGUG